GUAGMYAGUGAGGCGUCCGGACUGGCCCAGAGAGGUGGGCAACUACCACUCAGGGCCGGAAAGCUCUCCAAACUCGGUCAUUUAGAGGAAGUAAAAGUCGUAACAAGGUCUCCGUUGGUGAACCAGCGGAGGGAUCAUUACCGAGUUUACAACUCCCAAACCCCUGUGAACAUACCACUUGUUGCCUCGGCGGAUCAGCCCGCUCCCGGUAAAACGGGACGGCCCGCCAGAGGACCCCUAAACUCUGUUUCUAUAUGUAACUUCUGAGUAAAACCAUAAAUAAAUCAAAACUUUCAACAACGGAUCUCUUGGUUCUGGCAUCGAUGAAGAACGCAGCAAAAUGCGAUAAGUAAUGUGAAUUGCAGAAUUCAGUGAAUCAUCGAAUCUUUGAACGCACAUUGCGCCCGCCAGUAUUCUGGCGGGCAUGCCUGUUCGAGCGUCAUUUCAACCCUCAAGCACAGCUUGGUGUUGGGACUCGCGUUAAUUCGCGUUCCUCAAAUUGAUUGGCGGUCACGUCGAGCUUCCAUAGCGUAGUAGUAAAACCCUCGUUACUGGUAAUCGUCGCGGCCACGCCGUUAAACCCCAACUUCUGAAUGUUGACCUCGGAUCAGGUAGGAUCGGAAAAUAGAAAAAAAAGG
rnacentral:rRNA from 1 species